AAUUUGGGUUUUUAACUUAGAUUUGGGUGGCGGACGGGUGAGUAACGCGUAAAGAACUUGCCUCACAGCUAGGGACAACAUUUAGAAAUGAAUGCUAAUACCUGAUAUUAUGAUUUUAAGGCAUCUUAGAAUUAUGAAAGCUAUAAGCACUGUGAGAGAGCUUUGCGUCCCAUUAGCUAGUUGGAGAGGUAACAGCUCACCAAGUCGAUGAUGGGUAGCCGGCCUGAGAGGGUGAACGGCCACAAGGGGACUGAGACACGGCCCUUACUCCUACGGGAGGCAGCAGUGGGGAAUAUUGGACAAUGGACCGAGAGUCUGAUCCAGCAAUUCUGUGUGCACGAUGAAGUUUUUCGGAAUGUAAAGUGCUUUCAGUUGGGAAGAAAAAAAUGACGGUACCAACAGAAGAAGUGACGGCUAAAUACGUGCCAGCAGCCGCGGUAAUACGUAUGUCACGAGCGUUAUCCGGAUUUAUUGGGCGUAAAGCGCGUCUAGGUGGUUAUGUAAGUCUGAUGUGAAAAUGCAGGGCUCAACUCUGUAUUGCGUUGGAAACUGUAUAACUAGAGUACUGGAGAGGUAAGCGGAACUACAAGUGUAGAGGUGAAAUUCGUAGAUAUUUGUAGGAAUGCCGAUGGGGAAGCCAGCUUACUGGACAGAUACUGACGCUAAAGCGCGAAAGCGUG
rnacentral:rRNA from 1 species